UACAGAGGGGGCAAGCGUUGUUCGGAAUUACUGGGCGUAAAGGGCGCGUAGGCGGCAUGGCAAGUCGGGAGUGAAAGCCCGGGGCUCAACCCCGGAACGGCUUUCGAAACUGCCAAGCUAGAGUACGGAAGGGGCAACUGGAAUUCCCAGUGUAGCGGUGAAAUGCGUAGAUAUUGGGAAGAACACCGGAGGCGAAGGCGGGUUGCUGGGCCGAUACUGACGCUGAGGCGCGAAAGCAUGGGGAGCGAACAGG
rnacentral:rRNA from 1 species